GAGGCGAACCGGGGGAACUGAAACAUCUAAGUACCCCGAGGAAAAGAAAUCAACCGAGAUUCCGAAAGUAGCGGCGAGCGAAAUUGGACUAGCCCUUAAGCUUUACACGCGUUAGACGAACGGUCUGGAAAGUCCGACGAUACAGGGUGAUAGUCCCGUAGUUGACGACGUGUGUUCAGUGAAAUCGAGUAGGGCGGGACACGUGAUAUCCUGUCUGAAUAUGGGGGGACCAUCCUCCAAGGCUAAAUACUACUGACUGACCGAUAGUGAACCAGUACCGUGAGGGAAAGGCGAAAAGAACCCCUGUGAGGGGAG
rnacentral:rRNA from 1 species